GGCGGCGCGGGGCCCGCCGAGGCCACGGCGAUGCCACCGCCGGGGUUCGGCGGGAUCGUCGCCGGGGUGCUGCCG
rnacentral:tRNA from 1 species